rnacentral:rRNA from 1 species
GACAGAGGUGCCGAGCGUUAGGCGGAAUCACUGGGCUUAAAGCGUGUGUAGGCGGGCCGUUAAGUACCUUGUGAAAUCCCCCGGCUCAACCGGGGAACGGUUGGGUAUACUGGCGGUCUUGGGCCACCUAGGGGCGAGCGGAACAAGCGGUGGAGCGGUGAAAUGCGUAGAUAUCGCUUGGAACGCCGACGGUGAAAACAGCUCGCUGGGGGUGUGCCGACGCUGAGACACGAAAGCCAGGGGAGCGAACGGG